rnacentral:lncRNA from 1 species
GUAGUCAUCUUUGUUUAUGUCUUGAAGUGUAUUUAGGUGUUGCAAACAGGCAUCAUAAUUUCCAGCCAGAAAAGCUUGUAAUGCACUGCUCGACAACUCCUUCUCCUGAUCAGUGAUCCCUGAAGUGCCCGCUCCGUCAUGCUUCUCAGCACCUUGGUCCGCAGCCUUGUCCGCCGCCAUCUCUGCCGCCGUUGCCGUGCGAUCCGAGCGCGCUGAGCGGGACGAGAACACUCCCCUGCUCCGCCGAACGCCGCCUGCUCCUCCGCCGAGCGCCGCGCCGCCUUCGGGACUACUUUACCGCCAGUCCCCUCCGCGCCGCUCCGUCCCUAUUCGCCCGCCGCUUCCGGGUUGCCGGCGCCCGCCGACGUGCAACCGUUGCUGGGGACCGCGUCUGACGUCACGACGCCGCUGCGCUCCCUCCCGGGAGGGGCGCCGUGCGCAUGCGCCUCGUCACCUCGCUGCGUCCUGUACGCCGCCAUGUUGUUGGCCUUACCCGGCGUGAGGGUGAGUCCGGGUGUGACGGGCUGCGUGGAGAUCUCGCGCUGGAAGGGGAUUUUCCCUUCAGCAGGUGGUAUUGAAGCACUCAUCUUUGCUAGGACACACCUCUGUGGGCUCAGCAGCUGCUCGUCGCCCCGACCGCAGCCUGGAAGAGGGCCUCAGGAGCCCGGCUGCUGAGGGCAGUUGGCAUCGGUUCUCUUGUGAGGCUGUGAGCUUCCAUCAGCGGACUCUCCUUGCUGCCACCAUCAGGCUGCAGUUCCUGUGAGAUGUUGCCUUUAUGAUUUUGCCGUCUGUUAACAUAGGAAUACUUCCUUGUAUUGUUUCUCCAGGUCUGGUUCUCCAAGGCUUCCCCUCCUUGCUCAUUUACUCCUGUUAAACAUCAAGUCACUUUUCUGCUCAUGUCUGUAAGUGUACAUAUACCCAAUUCUGAUCAGUAGAUUCCACCUCGUAAGGUUUUGACAUUGUUGCCAGCUGUCAACAUUUGCAAAGACAGACCAGGCAAUCUAAAGCAAACUGCACAUGUUAGAUGCCUGCUGCGCAUUCAAUAAAGAUGUGAGGACGAAAUUUAUCCUUAGGGAGGUGGACAACAGAACUGGAUUAGUGGAAGAAGGAUUUCCUGCCAGUGUUCUUAGAAUCAUAGAAUCACAGAAUCGUUAACAUUGGACAGAUCACUAAGAUCAUCUGGUCUGGCCACCAGCACAUCCCCACCGUGCUCACUGACCACGUCCCUCAGUGCCACAACUUGAGGCCAUUCCCUCUUGCCCUGUCACUGUCACCCGGGAGAAGAGGCCGACCCCCACCUCACCACAGCCUCCUUUCAGGCAGCUGUAGAGAGCAAUCAGGUCUCCCCUGGGCCUCCUCUUCUCCACACUGAACAAUCUCAGCUCCCUCAGCUGCUCCCAUCAGACUUGUGCUCCAGACCUCACAGCUCUGUUGCCCUUCUUUGGACACACUCCAGGGCCUCGAUGUCCUUCCUGCAGUGAAGGACCCAAACUGAACACAGCACUCGAGGUGCGGCCUCACCAGUGCCGAGAACAGAGGGAAUAUCACCUCCCUGCUUCUGCUGGCUGCGCUAUUUCUGACACAGGCAUCCAGCUACUCUGUUUUCCCUAAAGCUACUCUCUGACACAAGGCAGAGGAAGGUUUGUAAGGAAAGGUGAUACUUUGUUUAACAAAGGGAUAGAGUUAGAAAGAAUGUACAUAUGCAUGUAUGUAACAUGCAUACAACCUCACCGGCUCUGAAUGCCUUCAAACCAUCAGAGCUUUCAAUGAGCCAAGCUGUGUAAAAUGACACAUUUUUGAAAACAGUCGGUGAAAAAUUUCAAGAGUACAGUGAUUUUCUUUUUGUAAUUCUGAAUAUUCCAACCUGUGCUUAAUGACUUCUAUUAAUCACAACUUCUAUAGCUCCUCUUCAGUUUACCUGGAUUGUCAGGCUUUCUUUUGCACAUAUGUGUAUAUAUAUGUGAGAAAAUCCUACAAUCCUUAUACGUAAAUAUUUUAUUCCAAGCCUCUGAAUUUGUUGUAUUUCUUUUGUGAGAAACAGCUGCCGGCCCAGGCUGUCAGCCCAUGUCUGUGUGAGAACAUCUGCCAAUAAAGCUAUGGCAGCAAGCCCUCCUCAUGUGUGUGUGUAUUUACUAGUGUUAUUAAUCAUUUGUGCUUGUAUGUUUGGUAAGCAAUAGAACCUAUAAAAGUAAAGCACUUUGCUUACCAGCAUAACUGUAUUCUGACUGACUUUUACCAAAGCAAUAAAGCUGCCCCAAAACCACCCUGACUGCAGGAAUGUCUGAUGUGGAGAGAGGCUCCUGCCUCUCUCAAGUUGGGUACAGUGUUUUUGCCAGUGCCAAAACAGCAGUCUGGUAUUUACAGAGCAUUUUGCACUGACACACAGAGGCACCACUGUGAAUUUACUGCUCCCUGCUAUCCUUUUGCUUUGACAGUCCUGUCAGAGCUAAUUCAGCCUGAAGUAUGGCAGCACUGGUACCCAGCUUUGCAGCUCUUCUGCAUCAUGACAUCAGGAGGACAGUCACGGUAGUUUGCUUCAUCC